rnacentral:rRNA from 1 species
GAUGAACGCUGGCGGCGUGCCUAACACAUGCAAGUCGAGCGACUCUCUUCGGAGAAGAGCGGCGGACGGGUGAGUAACGCGUGGGUAACCUGCCCUUGUACACACGGAUAACAUACCGAAAGGUAUGCUAAUACGGGAUAAUAUGCUUUUAUCGCAUGGUAGAAGUAUCAAAGCUCCGGCGGUACAGGAUGGACCCGCGUCUGAUUAGCUAGUUGGUAAGGUAACGGCUUACCAAGGCGACGAUCAGUAGCCGACCUAAGAGGGUGAUCGGCCACAUUGGAACUGAGACACGGUCCAAACUCCUACGGGAGGCAGCAGUGGGGAAUAUUGCACAAUGGGCGGAAGCCUGAUGCAGCAACGCCGCGUGAGCGAUGAAGGCCUUCGGGUCGUAAAGCUCUGUCCUCAAGGAAGAUAAUGACGGUACUUGAGGAGGAAGCCCCGGCUAACUACGUGCCAGCCGCCGCAGUAA